rnacentral:misc_RNA from 1 species
AGCAGCCGCGGUAAUUCCAGCUCCAAUAGCGUAUAUUAAAGUUGUUGCAGUUAAAAGCUCGUAGUUGAAUUUCGGGAUUAACGUAAUGGUCGUGCCUUAAGGGGUAUGAACUGUUACUGUUGAUUUUCUCACCUUCUGGAGAAUCUUGAUGUCCUUAAUUGGGUGUCUUGUGGAUCCAGGACCUUUACCUUGAAAAAUUAGAGUGUUUAAAGCAGGCAUUUUUGCUCGAAUACAUUAGCAUGGAAUAAUAGAAUAGGACGGCAUGGUUCUAUUUUUGUUGGUUUCUAGGAUCACCGUAAUGAUUAAUAGGGAUAGUUGGGGGGCAUUAGUAUUCAAUUGUCAGAGGUGAAAUUCUUGGAUUUAUUGAAGACUAACUACUGCGAAAGCAUUUGCCAAG